AUAGUCACCUGGCAGGGGAGACACCUUGAUCACAAAGGAGGUUUACCCAGGGUGAGGCUCGGCAAAUGCACUCUGGUCGUGCUAAACCCUGCAAGUUCCCCAAAAUGUGGGAAUCUCGACUGAAUAAUAUAUGCUCCCGUGUGGGUCAGUUGGUAGAGCAUGGU
rnacentral:snRNA from 1 species